CGCCCUUUCGGUUGGUCAUCGUGCAGCCAACUAUGCAAUUUAAUGAUUGUUUGAAAAAAAUAAAAACCCGUUUCUGAACGAAAUUCAAGAACUUGUGUAUACAAUAUUAGAUUGCCAGAGGAACGAGAUGGUUUUCCUGGAUGUUUUCUUUUUUUCUUUCUUUUUAUAUCUGUAAACAAAUUUCCACCAAUGAUCUUACUCCAAUCGUCAACUUCAAGCGUAUUUACUGAUACCAAAUUAGGUUAAUGCAUCGCAAAAGUCUUUUUUUGAUUUUCUUUGUAGUUUCCAUAAUACAUG